rnacentral:rRNA from 1 species
UAUGUGAUCGUCUCUCGCAUAUCAAUAAGCGGAGGAAAAGAAACUAACAAGGAUUCCCCUAGUAACGGCGAGUGAAGCGGGAAGAGCUCAAAUUUGAAAUCUUAAAGGGUUUCCCUUUACGAAUUGUAGUUUAAAGAAGUGUUUUCUGUUGAGGUUUUGGUAAAAGUUCUUUGGAAUAGGACAUCAUAGAGGGUGAGAAUCCCGUAUUUGACCUUUACUUUCAACUUUGUGAUACACUUUCAAAGAGUUGGAUUGUUUGGGAAUGCAGUCCAAAAUGGGUGGUAAAUUUCAUCUAAAGCUAAAUAUUGGCGAGAGACCGAUAGCGAACAAGUACCGUGAGGGAAAGAUGAAAAGAACUUUGAAAAGAGAGUUAAACAGUACGUGAAAUUGUCAAAAGGGAAGCGUUUGACACCAGUGUUGUUUUUCUGAAAAUCAAUUAAAGAACUGUUUAUGCUAAGCUGUUUAGACUUUAUCAGCUAUCUGUUUAGUUUUGAGCUUUUCUUUAAUGCACUUUUCAGUUAACAAGUCAACAUCAAUUUCUUUUGCUGUAAAAAAGCUUGAGGAAGGUGGCUUGAGAUUCGUCUUAAGUGUUUAUAGCCUCUUGCCUAUGCAGUCGGAGAGAUUGAGGUCUGCAGCGUAGAUCCUUCGGGGCUAAAUGCAUUUGUGCUAAGUUAUAGCAUUUUAUAGACAACUUGUUGACUAUGAUUUGUCUUGUAGCUUACUCGCUUAUGUUAUUUUACCUACGCUUAGGAUGUUGAACGCGCACAGAGUCUC